UGCUUAACACAUGCAAGUCGAACGGGAUGCUUAGGCAUCUAGUGGCGGACGGGUGAGUAACGCGUGAGAAUCUGGCUCCAGGUCGGGGAUAACAGUUGGAAACGACUGCUAAUACCGGAUGUGCCGAGAGGUGAAAGAUUUAUCGCCUGGAGAUGAGCUCGCGUCUGAUUAGCUAGUUGGCGGUGUAAGGGACCACCAAGGCAUCGAUCAGUAGCUGGUCUGAGAGGAUGAUCAGCCACACUGGGACUGAGACACGGCCCAGACUCCUACGGGAGGCAGCAGUGGGGAAUUUUCCGCAAUGGGCGAAAGCCUGACGGAGCAAUACCGCGUGAGGGAGGAAGGCUCUUGGGUCGUAAACCUCUUUUCUCAAGGAAGAAGAAAGUGACGGUACUUGAGGAAUAAGCAUCGGCUAACUCCGUGCCAGCAGCCGCGGUAAUACGGAGGAUGCAAGCGUUAUCCGGAAUGAUUGGGCGUAAAGGGUCUGCAGGUGGAACUGAAAGUCUGCUGUUAAAGAGUUUGGCUUAACCAAAUAAAAGCGGUGGAAACUACAGAACUAGAGUGCGGUAGGGGCAAAAGGAAUUCCUGGUGUAGCGGUGAAAUGCGUAGAUAUCAGGAAGAACACCGGUGGCGAAAGCGUUUUGCUAGACCGUAACUGACACUGAGGGACGAAAGCUAGGGGAGCGAAUGGGAUUAGAUACCCCAGUAGUCCUAGCCGUAAACGAUGGAUACUAGGCGUGGCUUGUAUCGACCCGAGCCGUGCCGGAGCUAACGCGUUAAGUAUCCCGCCUGGGGAGUACGCACGCAAGUGUGAAACUCAAAGGAAUUGACGGGGGCCCGCACAAGCGGUGGAGUAUGUGGUUUAAUUCGAUGCAACGCGAAGAACCUUACCAAGACUUGACAUCCUGCGAAUCCCAGUGAAAGCUGGGAGUGCCUUAGGGAGCGCAGAGACAGGUGGUGCAUGGCUGUCGUCAGCUCGUGUCGUGAGAUGUUGGGUUAAGUCCCGCAACGAGCGCAACCCUCGUUUUUAGUUGCCAGCAUUAAGUUGGGCACUCUAGAGAGACUGCCGGUGACAAACCGGAGGAAGGUGAGGAUGACGUCAAGUCAGCAUGCCCCUUACGUCUUGGGCUACACACGUACUACAAUGCUACGGACAGAGGGCAGCGAGCCAGGGAUGGCAAGCGAAUCCAGAAACCGUAGCUCAGUUCAGAUCGAAGGCUGCAACUCGCCUUCGUGAAGGAGGAAUCGCUAGUAAUUGCAGGUCAGCAUACUGCAGUGAAUUCGUUCCCGGGCCUUGUACACACCGCCCGUCACACCAUGGAAGUUGGUCACGCCCGAAGUCAUUACCCCAACCGAAAGGAGGGGGAUGCCUAAGGUAGGACUGGUGACUGGGGUGAAGUCGUAACAAGGUAGCCGUACCGGAAGGUGUGGCUGGAUCACCUCCUUUUAGGGAGACCUACCCAUUGAAGAAUCGAAAGCGGAAA
rnacentral:rRNA from 1 species